AAGGUGCAAAGGUUGGCCUCAAGCCAGCUGCUGGGGAUUCCCUCAAUGUUAGGGAGUUCCCAGAAGGGAUACAGCUGGCGGCUUUAUGUUUUUUGCCACCGCAAGCACGGCAGUCAGGCAGCUUUCGACAGCAAGCCUGCGGGAGGUCUGCUGUCGACCCAGAUUCAG